rnacentral:pre_miRNA from 1 species
AUAGUACUCCCUCCGUUCCGAAUUACUUGUCGCAGGUAUGGAUGUAUCUAGAUGUAUUUUAGUUCUAGAUACAUCCAUUUCUGCGACGAGUAAUUUGGAACGGAGGGAGUACAUC